UGGGGAAUAUUGGACAAUGGGCGCAAGCCUGAUCCAGCCAUGCCGCGUGAGUGAUGAAGGCCCUAGGGUUGUAAAGCUCUUUCACCGGUGAAGAUAAUGACGGUAACCGGAGAAGAAGCCCCGGCUAACUUCGUGCCAGCAGCCGCGGUAAUACGAAGGGGGCUAGCGUUGUUCGGAUUUACUGGGCGUAAAGCGCACGUAGGCGGACUUUUAAGUCAGGGGUGAACUCCCGGGGCUCAACCCCGGAACUGCCUUUGAUACUGGAAGUCUUGAGUAUGGUAGAGGUGCGUGGAAUUCCGCGUGUAGAGGUGCACUUCGUCGAUAUUCGGAGGAACACCAGUCGCGAAGGCGGCUCACUGGACCAUUACUGACGCUGAGGUGCGAAUGCGUGGGGAGCAAACAGG
rnacentral:rRNA from 1 species